UGUAGUACUCAUUUCGGCAGCAAUGUGCUAAAACUGGAACAAUACAGCGAAGAUAUUCAUGGCCCCUAGGCAAGGAUCACUUACAAAUUCAGGAAUCAUUCUGUAUUUUU
rnacentral:snRNA from 1 species